rnacentral:misc_RNA from 1 species
GAUGAAGAACGCAGUGAAAUGCGAUAAGUAGUGUGAAUUGCAGAAUUCAGUGAAUCAUCGAAUCUUUGAACGCACAUUGCGCCCCUUGGUAUUCCAUGGGGCAUGCCUGUUCGAGCGUCAUUUGUACCUUCAAGCUUUGCUUGGUGUUGGGUGUUUGUCUCGCCUUUGCGUGUAGACUCGCCUUAAAAUAAUUGGCAGCCGGCGUAUUGAUUUCGGAGCGCAGUACAUCUCGCGCUUUGCACUCAUAACGACAGCGUCCAAAAGUACAUUUUACACUCUUGACCUCGGAUCAGGUAGGGAUACCCGCUGAACUUAAGCAUAUCAAUAAGCGGGA